CGGUCCUGCGAUCAGUGGCGAACGGGUGCGUAACACGUGGGCAACCUGCCCCAGACUCUGGGAUAACCCCGGGAAACCGGAGCUAAUACCGGAUACUUUCGCGGAACCACAUGGUUCUGUGAUGAAAGAAUUUCGGUCUGGGAUGGGCCCGCGGCCUAUCAGCUUGUUGGUGAGGUAACGGCUCACCAAGGCGACGACGGGUAGCUGGUCUGAGAGGACGACCAGCCACACUGGGACUGAGAUACGGCCCAGACUCCUACGGGAGGCAGCAGUGGGGAAUCUUGCGCAAUGGGCGAAAGCCUGACGCAGCGACGCCGCGUGGGGGGUGAAGGCCUUCGGGUUGUAAACCCCUUUCGACAGGGAAGAAGCGAAAGUGACGGUACCUGUAGAAGAAGUCCCGGCUAACUACGUGCCAGCAGCCGCGGUAAGACGUAGGGGACGAGCGUUGUCCGGAUUUAUUGGGCGUAAAGCGCACGCAGGCGGCUUGGUAAGUCGGGUGUGAAAAUCCGAGGCUCAACCUCGGACCUGCACCCGAAACUGCCCGGCUAGAGGUAGGUAGGGGAGAUCGGAAUUCCUGGUGUAGCGGUGAAAUGCGCAGAUAUCAGGAAGAACACCCGUGGCGAAGGCGGCUCUCUGGUACGUGACUGACGCUGAGACGCGAAAGCGUGGGGAGCAAACAGGAUUAGAUACCCUGGUAGUCCACGCCGUAAACGAUGGGUGCUAGGUGUGGGGGGUGUC
rnacentral:rRNA from 1 species